rnacentral:siRNA from 1 species
GGCACGUCUGCCUGGGUGUCACAAA